UUUUUUUUUUUUUGAUCCGCGUGUUUCCAAAUUCCUUAUUAACAAAUGCAAUCAGGCAACAACACAAAAGAAUAUGAAGUUGUGGUUCUUCUGAAAAAAAAAAAAAUUCUACUAUUUGCUCUUGUUUUCUAAUUAAGGUUUUGAAUGCUAAGAAUCUCUUUGUUGUUAGUGCCUUUGCAAAUCCUCUCUACCUGAAUGAAGACAAAAAAACCAAAAAACAAACAAAAAAAAACCUAAGGGAUUGUACCCUUCAAAGUACAACCAUGUGAAUUUUAGCCAGGUAAAUUGCUGAUUAGCUUGGAGUAAUUUAAAGAAACAGUAUGUAAGCAAGUUGGGAUAGGAUUCAGUCCUUUGUUAUCUCGGGGAGGGAUUAUGGUGGGGGUGUGGUUUUGAACAUAGUUUGAAACAGUCAGCUCUCAGUAUUGUGUUCUAUUUUGAUCUUUAUGUUAAUUUAAAUACUGAAAUUCUAAAGAAAAAAACCUCUUUAGAGGUCUUCUUUACCUUCUAAUCAGUACAUAAAUAUUUUCAACUCUAAUAUAUGUAAAUAUUUAUAAAUUUCUGUGUGUAUCCUAUGGUGACAUCCACUUCUACAGAAAGUUUCAUAAUGGUUGAAGGUAGAUACAUAAGUAUAUAUCCCUUAUCUUACAUGGUGACUUUCUCUGAGUGGUAUUCUGCAUACCCACACAUAUUUCAUGAUAUGUCCUGAAGUUCUUUGCAUAUUAAGUCAAAGAGAGUGCACUCUGUUUCUUUCAACAGCUGUAAAACAUUGCAUUAUGAUAUCCUGCCAUUCCAUUGCAACAUCCUAUCAUAACUGAUUGGACUUUGGUCAUAUGGGUAGCUUCCAGUCUUUUUCCAUUAAAAUAGUAUACAUGGAGAAGACUAAUUAAUAUUCAUCACUGUGUUCCAGUCAGGAAUAUCUGUCCAAUAGAUUAUAAGAAGUGGCUUUUGAGUGAAAAGGUGGAUGGGUUCUCUAAUUUAGUUAAAUCAAUAAGUUGGGCAGCCAGCAUGGAUGUCAGAGACUCACUGAUAUAGCACUCCUGAUUCUCUUGUCUUACUCUCCCAAGUGUUGAGAUUUACAAGUGUGUGAAACCAAUGCUGAUUUAGGAUUGUUCUUAAUAAACAUUUAGGAGUUUAUCUUUACAAUCAUUUGCCAUAGUCAUGUACCUUUGUUGACUCAACAAAUGUGAGCCCCCUAAAAUGUAGCUGGUUCCAAAGAUUUUCUUUGAAUGAAAGCUUAAACAGUUUGCAGCAAAUAUUUACGUGAGAGGAUAGGGCUUCAUGCCACGCCCAACAACCAAUUCCACUUUCUCUUUCAUUCUCUAUCCAAGAUAAGAAGCUCAGCUUUAUAGAGUACAAAUAAUCUCCAAAGUGUGGAAAGUUCACUGCUUGAGAUCUAUUGCCUACAAGAUGCUUAUAUUGCUAGUACUCAGUUUGUUGGAAUUACAACCAUUUUUCAAGGUAUUAGUAAGAAGAUCCACUUAAAUUACCAUCAUUUUUUUGAGACAAGGUUUCUCUGUGUAACAGCUCUGGUCGUCUUGGAACUAGCUCUGUAGAUCAGGUUGAUCUAGAACUCACAGAAAUCCAUCUAUCUCUGUCUCUUCAGUGUUGGGAAUAAAGAUGUUCACCACCUUUCCCCAGCCUUGAAAAUAUCAAUUCUUUAAAUUCAUUUCCUCCUUUGUCUCAGAUAUCAAGUAUUAGAAUACACUAUUUAUUACAGUGAUAUAAAUAUUCAUGCACACGUUCUGUAACACUCUUCUUCUUCUUCUUCUUUUUUUGAUUCUCUUAGUAAGGUUUUUUUUUAAUUAGAUAUUUUCUUUAUUUACAUUUCAAAUGUUAUCCCCUUUCCUGGUUUCCCCUCCAAAAAACAUCCUCCCCCUCUGCCCUUUCCCCUUCCCCUGCUCAUCAACUCACCCACUCCUGCUUCCUGGCCCUGGCAUUCCCCCACACUGGGGCAUAGCGCCUUCAUAGAAAAAAAGGGCCUCUCCCCACCCCAAUUUGAUGUCCGAGUAAACCAUCCUCUGCUGCAAUAUGCAGCUGGAGCCAUGAGUCCCACCAUGUGUGCUCUUUGGUGGUGGUUUAGUCCCUGGGAGCUCUGGGACUAGUUUAUAUUGUUGUUCCUCCUAUGGGGCUGCAAACCCCUUCAGCUAUCACCCUUCUUUAUUUUUUUCCUGUGUAUGGUAUGUGUAUGUAGUAUGUGAAUGCAUUUUCAUAUGUGUGGCCAUUUAUGUGUGUAUAGGUACAUGUGCAUGCAUGUAUGUAGGUCAUAAGUUAACAUCAGGCAUGUUUUGUCAGUUGUUCUCUACCUUAUAUAUUCAGGUAUGGUCUUUCAGUUGAACUCAUAUCCCACAAAUUCAUCUUGUCUAGCUAUACCUCCUGAGUGCUGGGUUUGUAGGUGGGUUACAUGUAUGUGAAGUCUGGGAAUCCAAACUCCAGUCCUUACAGGUGCAUGGCAAGUGCUUUACUUCUCAAAACAUACCUUCAGCCUUGUAUCAGCCAUCUUAAAGAUUAGUGUGCUCUAUGUAAAGAAUGAGUAAAUAACUAAUAUAUGAUUCUGAAUUUUCAAUGUUUGUUUAUUCUUUUACUUCAUAUUCUGGGUUCUUGCUAUGUAGUUAAAGCUGGCUUACAAUUACAAAAUUGUAAUUUUGCCUCAGCUUCCUGGGUGCUAGAUUUCAGGCACUUGUCACUACAACUGGCUUGUUUAUUCUUGAAAUAAUGGGAAUCACACAGUGUUUAGGAAUGUAUUCAUAUAGUUACUGUGUUGUAUUAAUUAUCCAGUUACUUAAUCAUGUAUGAUUGCAAUUACUUCUGUAAUAGGUUGGAAAUAAUAAACAUAGCACUUAUAUCAUAAAAUUUUGAUGAAGAUAGAUUAGGGGAAGAUGUUCUGAACCCUUCAUCCAACUCCCUUUAUUAUGCUCCCCAAACCUUUGGCAGUUACUAGUCUGUUUGCCACCUCUAUUACUACUACUACUACUACUACUACUACUACUACUACUACUACUACUGCCACUGCUGCUGCUCUUUUUAUUGCUGUGCUUAGAACUGAACCUAGAGUCUUGUGUACUUCAAGCAGGUACUUUAUCACUAUGAUAGUUUCCCAGCUCUCUGUCUCUAUAACUUUAUCCUUUCAAGAAUAUAUAAUAUAAGCGUUAUUGCCAUGACCCAUCUCCCUUGCUGAUAUAUUCACAGUUGCCUGUCUCUCACAAAACUCUUGAACUCUUUUGACUUGAAUCCAUAAUAUGUUUCAGUAUCUAAUAUAGAUUCUUCAAGGUCAGGGAUGCGCAUCUUCAGGACUGUUUAUAUUUGAUGUUUAAUUAUGUUUUGUGGUGGCCAAUUAGAUUCCCAAGCAUAACAACUCAAAAUGUCUCAAGAUCUUUCCAAAUAUCAACUGGAAU
rnacentral:lncRNA from 1 species